GGUGAUGAGAUCCAAGCGACACGGUCAGCAGCGUGGUGGCGAGCAGGGAACAGCGGGACCUUGCGAUGCACUUACAGCUCCAACGCCUCCUAUAUUUACGUGGCCUGGUACCGGCAGCAUCCCGGUGGAUCCCUGCAGUACUUGCUGUUUUCCUGCGGGGCUGACGAGAGCUCCGGGACCCUGCUCAUCAGCGGGCUGGAGGUGGGGGACAGUGCGCUCUAUUACUGCACCCUGCAGGGACCCCAGUGA